rnacentral:rRNA from 1 species
CCGAGGAAAAGAAAUCAACCGAGAUUCCCCCAGUAGCGGCGAGCGAACGGGGAGCAGCCCAGAGCCUGAAUCAGUGUGUGUGUUAGUGGAAGCGUCUGGAAAGGCGCGCGAUACAGGGUGACAGCCCCGUACACAAAAAUGCACAUGCUGUGAGCUCGAUGAGUAGGGCGGGACACGUGGUAUCCUGUCUGAAUAUGGGGGGACCAUCCUCCAAGGCUAAAUACUCCUGACUGACCGAUAGUGAACCAGUACCGUGAGGGAAAGGCGAAAAGAACCCCGGCGAGGGGAGUGAAAAAGAACCUGAAACCGUGUACGUACAAGCAGUGGGAGCACGCUUAGGCGUGUGACUGCGUACCUUUUGUAUAAUGGGUCAGCGACUUAUAUUCUGUAGCAAGGUUAACCGAAUAGGGGAGCCGAAGGGAAACCGAGUCUUAACUGGGCGUUAAGUUGCAGGGUAUAGACCCGAAACCCGGUGAUCUAGCCAUGGGCAGGUUGAAGGUUGGGUAACACUAACUGGAGGACCGAACCGACUAAUGUUGAAAAAUUAGCGGAUGACUUGUGGCUGGGGGUGAAAGGCCAAUCAAACCGGGAGAUAGCUGGUUCUCCCCGAAAGCUAUUUAGGUAGCGCCUCGUGAAUUCAUCUCCGGGGGUAGAGCACUGUUUCGGCAAGGGGGUCAUCCCGACUUACCAACCCGAUGCAAACUGCGAAUACCGGAGAAUGUUAUCACGGGAGACACACGGCGGGUGCUAACGUCCGUCGUGAAGAGGGAAACAACCCAGACCGCCAGCUAAGGUCCCAAAGUCAUGGUUAAGUGGGAAACGAUGUGGGAAGGCCCAGACAGCCAGGAUGUUGGCUUAGAAGCAGCCAUCAUUUAAAGAAAGCGUAAUAGCUCACUGGUCGAGUCGGCCUGCGCGGAAGAUGUAACGGGGCUAAACCAUGCACCGAAGCUGCGGCAGCGACGCUUAUGCGUUGUUGGGUA